rnacentral:rRNA from 1 species
UACGUAGGUGGCAAGCGUUGUCCGGAAUUAUUGGGCGGAAAGGGCUCGCAGGCGGUUUCUUAAGUCUGAUGUGAAAGCCCCCGGCUCAACCGGGGAGGGUCAUUGGAAACUGGGAAACUUGAGUGCAGAAGAGGAGAGUGGAAUUCCACGUGUAGCGGUGAAAUGCGUAGAGAUGUGGAGGAACACCAGUGGCGAAGGCGACUCUCUGGUCUGUAACUGACGCUGAGGAGCGAAAGCGUGGGGAGCGAACAGG